UACGUAGGGCGCAAGCGUUGUCCGGAAUUAUUGGGCGUAAAGAGCUCGUAGGCGGCUUGUCACGUCGAUUGUGAAAGCCCGAGGCUUAACCUCGGGUCUGCAGUCGAUACGGGCUAGCUAGAGUGUGGUAGGGGAGAUCGGAAUUCCUGGUGUAGCGGUGAAAUGCGCAGAUAUCAGGAGGAACACCGAUGGCGAAGGCAGCUCGCUGGGACGGUACUGACGCUGAGGCGCGAAAGCGUGGGGAGCAAACAGG
rnacentral:rRNA from 1 species